ACUCACCAGGUCAGGACACGGUAAGGAUUGACGGACUGAAGGCUCUUUCUCGAUUCCGUGGAAAGUGGUGCAUGGCCGUUUUGGUUGGUGGAUCGAUCCGUCUGGUUAAUUCCGUUAACGAACGAGACCUCGGCACUCCGAAUAGCGCGGCGGACGUCGCGGCCUCCGGGCCGUCUUCCGCACGAGCUUCUUAGAGGGGACCGUCCCCCCGCCGGGGAAGGAGGUGCGAGGCAACGACAGGUCUGUGAUGCCCUUAGAUGUUCUGGGCCGCACGCGCAUUACACUGACGCGUCCAACGGGUGACUCCCGACCCGAAGGGGCCGGGGAAUCCGCAAGGCGCGUCGUGAUGGGGAUUGAACGUUGCAAUUGUUGUUCACGAACGAGGAAUUCCUAGUAGGCGCGGGUCAUCAACCCGCGCCGAUUACGUCCCUGCCCUUUGUACACAC
rnacentral:rRNA from 1 species